rnacentral:rRNA from 1 species
UACGGGGGGGGCAAGCGUUGUUCGGAAUUACUGGGCGUAAAGGGCUCGUAGGUGGCCAACUAAGUCAGACGUGAAAUCCCUCGGCUUAACCGGGGAACUGCGUCUGAUACUGGAUGGCUUGAGUUUGGGAGAGGGAUGCGGAAUUCCAGGUGUAGCGGUGAAAUGCGUAGAUAUCUGGAGGAACACCGAUGGCGAAGGCAGCCCCCUGGGCCUGUACUGACGCUCAUGCACGAAAGCGUGGGGAGCAAACAGG